UUCUGAAGAUGUGAAUUGUGAUUGAUUAUAACAUUUUAUAUAUGAUUUAAAAUAUAGAAAUAUAAUGUAUAUAUCUGUUUAUUUGUCUUAAUUUUCAUGUUUAUGAUUUAUUUAAAUGUCUCAGGUUUUUAAAAGAUGCUGUAGUAGAAAAUUUUACUAGGAGUGUGUCAGCAGAGUUUUUGCUAUGAAAAAAUGCAUGAAAAAAUCCAAAAAGUAAUUUUUUUCAUUGGAGGGGAGAAAAGUAAAUGUGACAUUAAAUGACUUUAUCUGAAUGAUUUCUCUCACAAGAAAAAAAUGCCUACACCUAAUUUAGAAAAGAAUCAGAAGUUAAGGAUUAGGUGGAAUGUUUAUGUUGCCACUAUACAUUAUAACAAAUGAAUUCAUGGUUAUAGGCCCAUUGUCAAUACAUUCUUUGUGAUCAAGUAUAACUUUUGAUCAAAUACAAUUUUCUGAAGAAAUCUAAAUCAGUAAUUCUGACAUUUUCUGAGGCCUUAAAAGUUAACACUGGCCAGGGAACUUUAGGAUAAAAAGCCAGCACUUACCACAUGCAGUCCAACAUUUUUUUUUUUUUUUCAGAUAUGAAUGAGUCUUAUAUAAUUAAUCUUUCACAAAGUAGCUAAUUAUAGUGUUCAAUAGAUUAUUUAAUAUUAUUGAUUUAGUUUCAACCCACUCUGGGAAUUUGAGAUGAGUGACAAGGGUUAGUUCACCCUUGGAGAAUGAGAACCUCUAUGCCAAGCUCAAAUACAGCCUCUUCCUCUGUUUCCCUUGCUAGUCUUUUCAUAGACCCAUUGCACAGCGUCUGAAUUGCCAGGCUGAGGAUCCACACAGGCCAUUGUAGUCACUUAGUUCACUAGUGUUCUUCUGAGAAAUUUAUUUAUUUUGUGUGGGCAUUGAUAUGUGGUUUAAAAGGCACACCCUGUAUUACCUUUCCUCUCAGUCUACCCAAAUAACAUCUCUGAUCUCCCAAUUUCUUUCAUUCUUCUUUGCUGGCCAAUAACAAGUCAACCAUUUUGCUUUGUCCACAAUUAUAAGUGAAUCUUUACUUUGAAUUCCUAUAAAGAAAGAGGAUGAGAAUAUAUAAUCCUCAAAGUAAAACAAUAUAUUUUAAAGGCUUUUAUUAGUGGGAUCAUAAUGCAGCUAUUUUUGAAAAAUUCUAUUAGUGUCUCUCUACAGUAAGUAGAUACAUCCAUGUUUAUUUACCCCUUUGCAGCUACUUCAGCAAACCUUCAUGAGAUAUUAUUUGUGAGCUGGUGAGGAACCGUUGUGUUAGAAAUGAUAGAUGAUCUAAAGGUCUUUGGUGAGAGACAUUUGUUAAUUUGGCAUGUUGUGUGAUGUCUGUACUUUAUGUGGCCUAAUACUAGAUGAACCUUAGGCAUUUUAUUUACAUGAUUGUCUGUAUGAUGAACAAAGACUAGGAUUUGGUGGAUGUGAUGGUAUCAUGUUUGUGGUGGACAGUUCUGGGUAAAUACUUCAUGUCCUAAAGUUAUAUAUUUACUCACUACCAGAAACAAGCUUACCUUGAUUAAGUUAUAGGUGUUCACAAGGUGUAUAAGUGUCAAGUGCAACAGAAUAUCCUUCUUGUUCUAGAACUGUAGAGUCAUACGUGUGACAGAAUUGUUUGCUGGGGUCGGUGAUUUGGCAUAGGAGAUAAAGCCUCUGCCUGUAGUGCUGGUUUAAGCUCUAUGAGUGCCAUUUAAGCUCCUGAUUCCUGGCUUCAAAUCGGCCACUUGGGAAGUGAACCAGUGGAUGCAAGAUUCUCUCUCUCUGUCUCUCUCCCCCUUAGCCUCUCUGUAAUUCUGCCUUUUAAAUAAAUUAAUACAUUUUCAAAAAAAAAAUAAACUUGUUUGCUGAGACAAUACAUGGUGCAUUUACCCACCAUAGACACCAGACACAGCUGUUAUGAGCACAGUUGUUGAUGUAGCUGGGCUACUUGUAGAAUAUAACUGACCUUCAAAGUACUCUACUUCUUUCUUAUUUGUAGCAUAUAUUGAAAUUCAAUUGUAAUCAAAUACUUUAAAAAUUUAACUUGGCUGCAAUAAGUAAACAUAUUUCAGAUGACUGGGUUUAUAAAACUUUACGAUGACGGCAGCCCCCUGAAUCAUUGUAGAUUGUCUGACACCUUUAUAACAAUUAUAAAUACAUCCUAACUACCUUCCAAUGUAUGCUCAAAAUAGUAUUUAUUUAUUUACUUAUUAUAUUUAUCAAAAUAGUUGGAAAUUAUGAUGUUUGUAUAACAUUCAAAUGAAGCAUUGCCAUACAGGUAUAGUAUGACAACGAGUAUGAUAUUUACACUGCACUAAAUCAAGACUGAAACUGAAUAUUGCUAUUUAUAAAAUAGGAAAGAGGAUUAAAAAUGAUACAUUCUGGUUAAUUCCCUACUGUUUGCAUACUAAGGAUAUUAUACCCAACAUUCAAGUGCAACUGAGUUUAUCAUUGGUUUAAGUUUCCAGAAGUCCAUAUUACUUAUCUUGACAUCCCUUGAUAACAUUGAACACUAAUACAAUUUAUAUAUUCAAAGCUUCCCAAGCAUGUUUCAGUUUUUAAGACAUACAUAUAUGUGUGCAUGUUCAUACAUAAACAUAUAUGUAUGUUAUAUCUGUAAUAUAUGUAUAUAUGUAUAUAAUUAGAUGUAUGUCAUAAUAACAGCAUUACUACAAUGAAAACAUUGACAUUAUCCAUUUUUCACAUCAGUUCCACUCAUGCCCCUUCAUCAUUCCUCCUUCCCAGUUCCUGUUAUACCCUGUAAUGGACAACCACAGAUCUCCCUUUCAACAGUAAAGAUAGAUUUGACAUUUUCUGAGUUUAUAUAAAUAGAGUCAUUCAGCAUGCAUCAGUUAUGUCUUGAUUCUUUUGCUGAGCAUAACUCUUUUGAGAUGAGACCAUAUUUUGCAUGUAUCAACAUUUCAUUCCUUUUUAUUGCCUUUUUAUUGCCGUGUAGUGUUCCAUAUUUGCAAAUGUCAGAAUGUGUUUAUCCAUUCAUUUGUUCAUGGUCAUUUGGCUUUUGUGUUUCCAGUUCUGGGUUACUAAAAAUGAAGUUACUAUGGGCAUUUUUACAAACCUUUUUGAAAAUAUUCAAUAAAACUUUAAAGUGUACUAUAUUCCUUUCUUGAUUAAAUUGUUUCAAUCAAUUCAACAAUGGAGCACAUACAAUAAUACUAAUAUACAAAAUUUACAUUUUUGUACUGGAAAAAUGAAAUUAACAGACAAAGAUUUAUCAACCUUUUCUGUUGAAUUAUAAACAUAAAGUAAAGCCAGUAAAAACUACCAUCAAAGAACAACUAACAGUUAGCAUUCUUACCAUAUCUAUAAAGUAUAUAAUCCAGCAUCCCUUUAUUGUUUUAUUGCACACACUGCAUGUGGAUAUACCUGUGCACUUAUGGUACAUACACACACACACACACACACACAUAUACAGUAUACAUAUACCCAAAGACUCAUAAGCAUAUACAUUUUCCUACAUAUAAUUUCCUGUGCAGAUAUCAUAGCUUUUAUUCUCUCAUAGUUGUUUGUACUGUUCACAUUCCAUUGCACUUUUCUUCCAUAUUUUAUUACAACUUGCGUAGCUAUGGGCAAGCUAUAAUCUUUAUCAUCUUUCCAUUUACUCAGCAAGUUUUCUAACUUCUUGAACACCAAUGUGAUUUUUUUUAAAGAUUUAUUGAUUUAUUUGAAAGUCAGAGUUACACAGAGAGAGUAGGAGAGACAGAGAGGUCUUCCAUCCGCUGGUUCACUCCCCAAUUGGCCGCAAAGCCGGGGUUGUGCUGAUCCCAAGCCAGGAGCCAGGAGCUUCCUCCGGGUCUCCGACACGAGACUUGGGACAUCCUCUACUGCUUUCCCAGGCCAUCGCAGAGAGCUGGAUCAGAAGUAGAGCAGCCAGGAUUCGAAUUGGCACCCAUAUGGGAUGUCGGCACUGGAGGUGGCAGCUUUACCUGCAAUGCCCCAGGUCCAGCCUCACAAGUGUAAUUUUAAUCUGUGCUCCCUCAAACUAUGUAUUUCUGUACAAAUCAAAGUUAAAAAUAAAAAUAUAUUUUAGUAAAAUAAUUGCUGUGAUAUGCAUCUGCUUUACAGAUUAUGAGUCCUAAUUAUCAGGAUAUAGAUUUUUUUAAAAGCUUCAUUUUCUAGGACACAAUCAAAAAUAUAAAAGUUAUUAAAGGAAUUUUUUUAGCCAAAACUGAACAAUGUUGGAUCAUUAAAUGAAAUUGCAGGGAGCACUCUUUUGUUUAUUUCAAAAGGUUGAAAUCUGUCUAAACAAAGGAUGCUUUGAAAUCCCAGCCACAAUUACUUAGGAUUAUAUCUUUGUUUAGAAAUAAAUUUAUUGCAGAUAUGAUUCCUUGUCCUUACUUUAACAUGAAAUCACAAUCGAUUUAGAUAGGCCCUUACUCUAAUGUGACUGGCAUUUGUAUAAGAAGAGCAGGGAGAGAUUUUGACCCAGAAGUAAAACAACAUGUACUACCAGACAUAGGGACUGGAUACAACUGAAAGACAAGAAAUGAGAAAAAUCAAUGACCAAAAAUCUAGGAAGAGACAACUAGGGUAAAAUAUGGUUUAAGAAACACACACAUAUGGAUGCAAAGUGGACAAGGGUGGAAAGUGAUGGUUAAUCCUAUAUGUAAAAUUAGCUGAUGUAUAAUGUUCAGAUAUUUAAUAAAACUUUAGUUUCAGCAACACUGGAAGAUAUUUUGCAGAUGUGCUUAGCAUUUACCAUUCAUUGACUCAUGUAAAGGAUAUUAUCCUUGGUAAUGUAGAUAAUCUUCCUCCAAACAGUUGAAGGCCUUAUAACCAAAAAAAAAAAAAUGUAUUUUCUCUGAGGAGGUGAAAAAUUUUAACUUUUAGGCCAGCGCCACGGGUCACUAGGAUAAUCCUCCGCCUUGCGGCGCCGGCACACCAGGUUCUAGUCCCGGUCGGGGCGCCGGAUUCUGUCCCGGUUGCCCCUCUUCCAGGCCAGCUCUCUGCUGUGGCCCAGGAGUGCAGUGGAGGAUGACCCAAGUGCUUGGGCCCUGCACCCCAUGGGAGACCAGGAUAAGUACCUGGCUACUGCCAUCGGAUCAACGCAGUGCACCAGCCGCGGUGGCCAUUGGAGGGUGAACCAACUGCAAAGGAAGACCUUUCUCUCUGUCUCUCUCUCUCACUGUCCACUCUGCCUGUCAAAAAAAAAAAAAUUUUUUUUUAACUUUUGACUGUGGCAGUGUUUACAUAAGAUCUCAUCCUCUAUAGUGACAAUUUAACCCCUUUCAUACUUGGAUGCCAUUUAUUUACUUAUUUGUCUGAUUCCUCUGGCUAGGACCUUCAGUAUUAAACAGAAGUGGUGAGAAUGAAUAUUUUUGCCUUGUUCUUUAUCUUUGAUAAAAGUUCUUCAAUUUCUCUCCAGUGAGAAUGAUGUGAGUUAUGCGCUUGUGGUGCAUGGCCUUUAUUUUGUUGUUUAAUUUAUUAUUUUUUAAGGAUUUUCAUCAUGAAAUGAUGCUUCAUUUUGGCAAAUGCUCUUUAUUUAUCUAUUAAAACAUUCGUCUUUUUGUCAUUCAUUCCAUUAUUGUGGUAUAUUACAGUUAAUAAUUUGCAUAUCUGGAAUCAUCUUUCAUUGUAGAAAUGAAUCCCACUUGAUCAUGCUAAAUGAUCCUUUAAAUGUGCUGUAAGACCUUAAAACUCACAUCAAAAGUUGUUAGAAAUAAUAAAUGAGCUCAGUAAGGCUGUAGGAUAGAAGAAUCUAUAUGGAAAAAUUAAUAGCAUAUCCAUACACUAGGAAUAAUUAUCUGGGAAGAAAUCAAGAAAGCAGUCACAUUUAAAAAGCACAUCAAAAUAUUAAAAUGAAAUCAUAGUAUCAAAUUUUCCAAGGAUUUUAGAAACCUGAAAAACUAUGAAAAAGGUUAAAGAUAUUGAAGACACAAAUGGAAAAAUAACAUAGGUCCAUGCUUUCAAAAAAAUGAACAUUGUCAUCAUGUCCAUAUUAUCCAAAAUGAUGCACAGAUUAUAUGUAAUUCCCAUCAAAAUUCAAAUGGUAUGUUUUACAGAAAGAAAAAUAAUCUAAAAUUCAUAGUAAAUACAGAAAGUAUAGAAUAGACAAAAUAAUUGAGUAAAAAAACUAAGUUGUAUUUACCAUACCACUUGAUCUCAAAACGAUUUACAAAAUUCAUAUAGUAAUGAAAACAGUAUGACCGUGGCCAAAAUAUAGUGGUAUUGACCAAUGGAAAAUAACAGAGAACCCAGAAAUAACCCUGAAUAUUUAUAGUGAAUUGAUUUUCAACAAUGAUGUCAAGAAUUUACAACAAAUAUGAUGAUUUUUGAUACAUAAUGGGAAAGCCACAUUCAUAAGAAUUUUUCUGUAUCUCAAUUUAUAUACAAAAUUUCAAUCAAAAUGGAUUAAAACCUUGAGCAUAACUGCAGUGAAGUUGCAUUUUUUGUCCUUGACCAUAGAAAGGAAUGUUCUGGAUAUGACCCCAAAAGCAUAAAUACAAGAACCAGAUUGCAUCCACUAAAUGCUUCUGAAAAAAAAAAAAAAAGAAAGAAAAAAGAAAAAGUAAAGAGAAAAUCCAAGGAAUAAGAGGAAAGCAAAUGUCCAACGUAUGUAACGGGCAAACUACUUUCAGUAAUGAGAAAAUAGUUGUGUGCUGUAUAAUAUUUCAUUCAAUAAUGCAUCAUAAACAGGAAGGUGCUCCUGUAAGAUUAUCACAGAGCAGACAUUACCAGUGAAUACAUAGUAAAGGACAGCCAAGAUCAAUGGAAAAUCUAAAAGAAGAAAAAGAAAAGUUUCCUAAAGGAUUCACAGUGAAAAACUUUAGUGUAAGAUUCUGCUGGGAUCAAGAAGUUUCUGGAAAAGUUUGAAAUCAUGGACUUCAAUACCCAAUAGUUUCGGUAAUAAAGAGGAACAUUCUUGAUAUAAAAUCGACUUACAAGCAAAGAUGUGAUUUAAAGAAAGCAAGUAUAACUUUCUGCAAAGAAAAUGCAUUUCACUUCCCUUUGAAGAACUUCAGUGGGACAAGAGUAGAGUUUGGAAGACCAAGCUAUUGAUGCUCCUCUUCCUGCGUAGGUCUAGGCUAAUAUAUGUAGUUGUGUCUCAGCUGAUUAAUAAAACAUUGUAUUUUACUUUUUUUUUUAUUUCCGUCUACCUGAAAGGGAGAGAAUAUCCUUCAUCUUCUGGUUCACUUUCCAAAUGGAACUCCGAGGAACCCAGAAUUCCAUAUGGUUCUCCCGCAGAGAGGGCAGGGACACACCUUCUGGAACACGAUGUGCCGCCUUCUUCCUAGGAUGCAUUAGUAAGAAGCUGGGUCAGAUGCAGAAUAACCAGGACUCAAACUAGCACUCUUAUUUGGGCUUUGGCAGCUUAACCCAUUUCAACACAGUGCCUGCUUCGGUAUUUUUUAUCAGUUAUUUUGAAACACAGUCACGAUCAUUCUGUGGGUACUUUAUACGUAUAAUGCAGAGAUGAAUCAUUACAAGAUAGCACAUAUCAGAGAGCCUAAAAUAUUUUCUGCUCUUCUUUUUACUGAAAAUAAUUGUCAACCUCUGGUCUAGCAUAAUAGAGAUUAACAAAGAUUUAUCAUAUAUUAUAAGAAAAAUUAUAGGUUAUUCGGGAAGGAAUCUAUACUCAAAAUGUAAUUAAGCCACAAGCCUUUAGUGGGUAAAAUAAAACAAACCAAUAGGCAAUAGCGAAUCACUCAUUUUACGUAAAAUGUUACAUUUCAAGGGUUGAAAUGUAAAGUUUUGUAACUUAUUUUAUAGUGCUAGUAUAACCCAAAGCUACUUAAGAAUAUAGAUCCUAAAAGAACAUGUAAAAUGUUAGAAAAUUAUUCAGUAGAGUAUCAAAGUAGUUAUAAUUAUUUUAAAAUGAUAAGUUCAGAAAUUUUAAAAUUAUAUAUACAUAUCUAUUUUCUAUAAGCCUUAUCUAAUACUAUUUUCUUAUGCUUUCACACCUGGGGCAUAUUUGAAUAUUUUGGAAAGAAGCUUAGUUUGAUUUAACCUGACAAAAUUGUACUGUCAAACUGAAUAAUUGUAAUGCUGUCUGCACCUUGAAAUAAAAAAUCAGGAGACACAGAGGCCAACGUAUUUUUGUUUCCAUGGAUAACUUUUCAGUAGUAUCUAGGUCAGAAAAAUCAGUUUAAAAAGCAAGCAGGCACAACCCCUUUCUCAGGAGCAGAAAAGUAAUGAUUCGGUCAUUAGUAAUUUCUAUUUGGAAAAAAAUUACAUUCUUUUAUUUUAAAGAAGGAAUGGGAGAUUUAUGAAAAUACAGACAAAAAUCCAGACUAGUUGUAAAUAUAAAAAAAGUCUAAGUACAGGCAUAAAAAAGAUAAAUAGAAUUCAGUGGAAGACAAUAAUAGAGAAAAAGAUGAAUCCACUUAACAUGACUAAAAAAAAAAGACCACUGCUGCUGUUUCCAUAUUAUCUUAAUUAAACUACUUCCAAAGAUCAUAUUAGUAUUUGUGAUAACACCUUAAACAUUUUCUAAUUGUUUAUCCUAUAUAUCAAAGGAGAUAUCUUCUUUUUAGUUAACACUAAUUAUACAUAUUUAUGGACUAUGGUGUGACAUUUCAAUACAUGAAUACAAUAUUAUCCAAUUAAAUUGUGGUAAACAACAUCUUAUCUUCUUUACAUUACUUUUUGAUUGUGUUCUUUCUUUUAUUUAUUCAUAAAACACGUAAUGUAUUUAAUGUGAGCAGUAGUCACUCCACCUUGCUGUGUGACACUUAGGAUUUAUUCCCAUGCUUUUACUCUGAUGUGGUUCCAAUUAUUCUUAAUUUGAUUGAAAGGAAAAGAUGCAGAGAAAGAAAGAGAGAGAGAUGGGGAUAGAAAGCAGCUCUCAUCUGCUAUCAUCUACUGAUUCAAUGCCAUGGCUGGAAAAAAGCAAAAAGAAAGCAAGGAUAGUAUAAAAUUUCCCAAAGCACAUUGUCAAAUUUACUUUUUCCCAGAAAUAAGUAUUAUUGUACACCAACUAAAUAAUCCCUUCUUAUUAAUCUAUCAUUAUGUAAGGCUUAAUUUCUACUAUUCUUCUAUACAAUAGUGAUACAGUUAAGUAAAUAAAUCAGGAAUUCUAGUUUCUAAGAUUUUGAGGUUUACCACUUGCCUGUUAAAAAUGAUAAUGAAAUGAAUUGAGAGGGUUUAUAAAAUUAUUUUCCCAGUUUUUUAAAGAUUUAUUUUAUUUAUUUGAAUGACACAGUUACAGAGAGAGAGGUCUUCCAUCUGCUGUUUCACUCCCCAGAUGGUUGCAAUGGCUGGAGCUGCGCUGAUCCGAAGCCAGGAGCCAGGAGUUUCUUCGGGUCUCCCACGUGGGUUCAGCGCCACAAGGACUUGGGCCAACUUCUACUGCUAUCCCUAGCCAUAGCAGACAGCUGGACUGGAAGAGGAGCAGCCAGGACUAGAACCGGCGCCCAUAUGGAAUGCCGGCGCUUCAGGCCAGGGCUUUAACCUGCUGUGCCACAGACCUGGCCCCAAAUUAUUUUCUAGUCAAAUAUAAAUUGAAUAAAUUAGAUAUGUUAUUACUACUUGCUGUAUUGAAUAUGACCACAAAAGGCUGUUACAAGAAAGGAAAACAUCUGAAAUGAAUUAACUAUAAUAUCAACUGGACAAUCCAUGUUUGCUGAUUUUUAAAAAUUCUAUAGCUUUCAAAAUGACAGUUUUUGUUUACUUAUUUGUUUAAUUGUUGCUUACACAAAUGGAUAAAUAAUUUGACAUACAUUCUUGGAAUAAACAUAAAAAUAUAUUGAUAUAUUUAUUUAAAUAAAUACAUGAGACAUAUUUCUGUUUAGACAGGGCUUUAAGAUUACUCUAACAAAUAUAUAAUGUACCUAUAUUCAAAUUUGUGGUUUUUAACAGUGUAACCUAAUGGAUGCUUACUACUAGUAGUGUUAAACUAUUGAACUCAAACAAGCAUAGAGGUUAGAGGCAACUGAAAUAUAUUUUAAAUAUAGUAAUUUAACAAAUGGUGUUCAUUAAUUAAAUUGUGUAUGACAAUAAGCAGAAGAAAUAAAUUAUAAUAUUUUGUACUAUUGUAUUAUAGUGCUUUUGUAUGUCUGCUGGAGAUGACACAAAUUUUCAAAGUGUGAAUUUCCUAAGAAACUGCUUAGGCAUUUUUUAGGAAGCAAGUGGAGCGGAUUGUUGUGAGCUGUAGAACAAAAUUCCUGCUGUAACUUUUUUUUUUUUUUUUUUUUUGACAGGCAGAGUAGACAGUGAGAGAGAGAGACAGAGAGAAAGAUCUUCCUUUAUUGUUGGUUCACCCUCCAAUGGCCACUGCGCUUCGGCUGGCGCACUGUGCUGAUCCGAAGCCAGGAGCCAGGUGCUUCUCCUGGUCUCCCAUGCAGGUGCAGGGCCCAAGGACUUGGGCCAUCCUCCACCGCACUCCCGGGCCACAGCAGAGAGCUGGACUGGAAGUGGGGCAACUGGGAGAGAAUCCGGCGCCCCGACCGGGACUAGAACCUGGUGUCCGGUGCCGCAAGCAGAGGAUUAGCCUAGUGAGCCGUGGCGCCGGCCCUGCUGUAACAAAUUUAAACUGAAGACUCCUUCAGUGAUGACUGAAUUUUGUAAAUUUGUAUUCAGGAAGUUAUACCAGAAUGUUUUUACCCAACAUUGUAUUCAAUGUGGUUCAUUUUCAGAAAAUCACAGAAUAGGUACACGAUUUUCAAUAAUUAAUUAAUUAAUUAAUUACUUUUAUUCCAGAAGUGGAAGAACAGAGGUAUGCAAGGAGUGACAGAGAAUCCCAUCAAUUGGUUCACUCUCCAAAUGUGUAUGAUGACUGGGUUUUGGGGAGGCUGAAGCCUGGACCUGGAAAUUCAGCCCCAGUUCCCAAAGUGGGUGGGAGUCAUUCAGAGAUUUGAGUCAUCAUGCUGACACUCAGGGUGCACAUUGGCAGAAAGUUGGAAUUGGGAGCAGAGCCAAGACUUGAACCCAGCCCCUCUGAUAUGGGACUUGGGCAUCCCUACUGGCAUAUUAACCACUAAAACAAAUGUCCAACCCAAUACCGUUUAUUAUAGGCAUAAAGCAUCAUCUGUUUUCCAAAGUAUUGGCCUUUUAAUUACAUGCCUCUACCAACUCUAAGAAUGUUUAUUACAUAUGUUCACCAAGAAAAUCAAACUGAUAUCACUGUGUGAAUGUGAGUAGAAAGAACUUGAAAAGUAUGUCUUACGUGAUGUUACUUCAUCUCCAAAAGUCAUGCGCCAGUUAACUUAUCUAUAGCAAUAUGAAUCAGUCAGGAAAUUGAUCUCCAAGCUACUGAACUUACUGUAAAAAUUUUCUUAAUAAGUACUUUUAUUUAAUAAGUAAGCCAUUUCAAAUGAAUUCAUAUAAUCACUAAGCAUAGAUAAACUUUGAGAAAAUAUUAAUUUCUCCUUAGUCUUUUUUCUUCAUAUUCAUUUAAUACUUUUAUGUCUUUGGUUUAGCACAACUAUUGUAUCAGAGAACAAAAUGAGACUACUCAAAUGGAACAAAAGGAGUAGAAUAUAACUUUGUGAACUGGCUAGAUACACUCUUAAGGUGGUAAAUGUUGUUGAACUAAAUAUUGUGUUAAAACUUAAUAUAUUCCAUAAUGCUGUACUCUAGCAUAAUAUAUAUAGUAUAUACAUGAAUGCUUCAUAUGUAAAUGUUUAUACAUAUAUUCAAAUACUACUAAUAAAGGCAAAUCAUGAUUAUUUUACGAAACUUUUGUACCAUUAGUGAAAAUUAGUCUAGUAUGUCAUAAUUUAUUUACUCCCUUUUCAUAUAUCAUAUUGUUUUGCUUCAUAAUUUUUUAUUUGAGAGAGAGAGAGAAAGAGAGAGUGAGAGAAAGAAAUGUAUAGAGAGAAUCUCCUUUUUUUUUUUUAUUUUUGACAGGCAGAGUGGACAGUGAGAGAGAGAGACAGAGAGAAAGGUCUUCCUUUGCCGUUGGUUCACCCUCCAAUGGCUGCCACAGCCAGUGCGCUGCAGCCGGCGCACCGCGCUGAUCCGAUGGCAGGAGCCAGGAGCCAGGUGCUUUUCCUGGUCUCCCAUGGGGUGCAGGGCCCAAGCACCUGGGCCAUCCUCCACUGCACUCCCUGGCCAUAGCAGAGAGCUGGCCUGGAAGAGGGGCAACCGGGACAGAAUCCGGCGCCCUGACCGGGACUAGAACCUGGUGUGCCGGCGCCGCAAGGUGGAGGAUUAGCCUAUUGAGCCGGCCUGAGAAUCUCCUUUUGAUUUGUUAAUUCCCCAAAUGCCUUUAAGAAUUUGAACUGGGCCAAGCCAAAGCCAGGAGCCCAUUAUUGCGUCUGGAUCUCCCACAUGUUUACCAGAGAAAAGUACUUGAACCAUUACCCACUAAGCCUUCCAGACUGCAUAUCAGUAGGGUCUCCCUGAGUGUACAUUAUUAGGAAAGUAAAAAUACAGUUAUAGAUUAGAUUAGAACUUAGGCACUCUUUUGUGGAAUGCAGGUGUCCCAACUGGUUCCUGACUUCUGUGUCACAGUGAGAGACCCUACUUCAUAUUUUGUGUUUAAAUUUUGAAUUUCUUUUUAUAAUUCAAAUUGAUCUACAAUCAUUUUAUAUAAUCACAUUGUUACUGCUAAUACAAUAUUAGCAUUGUUAAACAUUUUUCUGUUUUUUAUUGUUUGUUUCCUUGCAAAUUUUCUGUGAUUAGAGCAUCAUAUCUCACUUAAAUGUGUGUGAUUGUUCAUUGAUAAAUUCACCAGAGAAUGAGGUUCCCUUUGAUAAAAUGAUAAUUUCAAUUAAAAGGUAAUUUAUUUAAAAGAUACUUGACUCUUUUUAUUUUAUAUUUUCAUCAUUGUCUUCAGUUAUUUUUUCAUUGCAUUAAAAUUUCAAAUAUAUUGUUAUGCUUUUAUGAAAUAUUGCUAGGAGAACUUAUUGUCAUAACGUUACUUAUGAAAUACUUGUCUAGGAGUUUAAAUGUCAUUAUUAAUUGCCUUGUAACUCUGGGUUUGUCAUUUAUUUCCACUCUGGAUAGACAGAAAAAAAGAAAAAAAAAACAAUUUUCUCACCAGUGUUGAUCUGAGAAUCAGGACUGACGAUGUUAUUUAAUGUUUCCAUUUAAACUCCCAGAAAUAUGCUACAUUAACUGUUUUAUGGUUCAAAAAAUCAAAUUGUGAACUAUUUCGUAGUCCUCUAAUUAAUGUGCAUAUUGUACUUUUGUGAAUAUUCUAUUUUAAAAUCAAAUGUAUUAAUCAUGUUUUCCAAAUCUAAAUGAAAGUUGACUACCAGUUGACAUAUAUUUCAUAUGCAAUGUUCCAAAUCAAUGUUAUAUGUAAACAGGGACUAUUUUAAGGUUUUGUAAUGUAAAUUAAAAAUUAAGUAAUUUAAUUUCUAAAUAUUUAGGUUGCUAAAAUAUUUCUGUCUUUACCUCAAGUUUUGUUAUUUUACUUUAAAAUCAAUAUGAAAAAAGGCCGGCGCCGCGGCUCACUAGGCUAAUCCUCCGCCUAGCGGCGCCAGCACACCGGGUUCUAGUCCUGGUCGGGGCGCCGGAUUCUGUUCCGGUUGCCCCUCUUCCAGGCCAGCCCUCUGCUGUGGCCCGGGAGUGCGGUGGAGGAUGACCCAGGUGCUUGGGCCCUGCACCCCAUGGGAGACCAGGAAAAGCACCUGGCUCCUGGCUCCUGGCUCCUGCCAUCGGAUCAGCGCGGUGCGCCGGCCGCAGCGCGCCGGCCGCGGCGGCCAUUGGAGGGUGAACUAACGGCAAAGGAAGACCUUUCUCUCUCUCUCUCUCUCACUGUCCACUCUGCCUGUCAAAAAAAAAAAAAAAUUAAAAAAAAUUAAAAAAAAAAUUAAAAAUAAAAAUAAAAUCAAUAUGAAAAUGAACAUUUAGGACUGGGAUUAAACUGGAGCGAGAAUUGUCAUCCUUUGUGGAUAUAGCAGAUGUUUGGAAAUACAAUUCAUAAUAUUCUGAUUUUUUAUUUUCUGGAUUUAAAAUAUUAUUCAAAAUUAUUUAAUAAAAUGUUAUUUUACAGUGUAAUUUUAUGCUAAUCGUUACAUCUUUCUGAAAGUCACAGAUAUUAAGCAAAACAUAAUCAACAAGUUAUUUUUAUUACACCUGUGAUGGAGUCAUUCUGUAUAAAAUUAAAGAGAGGUUGUUAUUUUACUAUGAAAAUGAUUAUAAAUACUUUUCACUUUUUUUUAGUGAACUCCAAAGAAACAUGUAUUUUCUACGGAGCAUUUGGGGAUUAAUUUUUCUUGCAGAUUUUCCAUUUUUUAACAUGCAAAAGAUUUUCUCUGAUAAUGGAAUGAAACUGAUUUGUUGAUAUUGAGUUCCUCUCAAGUUGAUUUUAGUAGUUUGAAAAAUUUGGAACUCCACCAUGUAGAAGAAUGAGACCAGAGCAACACUCUAUUAUUCAGAAGACAUCCUUGUCAUCUCAUUAUCGUCUAUGUAUUAUGUUUGUGCAAAUAUGAAAUUGUAUUCAUGACUUGCUGCCCUGAGUCUCAGAAUUUACAAGACACCACUCCAAGAAUACAUGCCUAGUCUAUUAUCACUGAAAUAUAAUUGUUUAUUUGGAUAAUGUAGAAAAAUAUAUUAUGGGGACCCUAAGAAGAGGCACAGAGAAAAUCUUCUGAUAUGGAGUAUUGAAAACAUUAAAGAGGAACUUGGAUCACUGCAUUAAGAAAGAAAACAACAAAACAUUUUCCAUCUCAAAGUGCAGAAGUAAAUAGAUGUUGCCUCAAUAUUAGGAUACAAAUGCAGAAUGUUUUAAAAUGAUGUGGAUACACUUGCUUUUCUUUUGUUACCUAUGUUUUGAUAUGACAUUCAAAAAAUAUUGUCGAAGUCAAAAUCAAGAAGCUUUACCCCUGUGGGGAGCAACUCGGACUAGACUAAGUUACUGGAAUUAAGACUUAUUCUAUGCAUCUGCUCUCCCACAAUAUGGCGCUGAGAAGGGAGUAAACAACUUCUACACAGCUGCCUCUCGCCAACUUGAGUGAUGACCUGCAGGAGCUGAUCCUGCUCCUGAUUGGAGGAGAGCGGCGUACUUGGCGUGUGGGUAGCAGAGUUGGGAUUGGUGGAAGAGGACUAUAAAGGAGGAGAGAGACAACAUGCACCAGGAACAUCUAAGGGGAACAUCCGGAUAACAUCUGAGCAGCCCCCGAGAGAGCUGGCCGGUGGUGUGCUGCUCCCCCGCGGAAGUGGGGAAAGUGGCAGGGGGAGCCGCCCUUCCACGGAGGUGGAAGGAUCCGCAGCCAACCCGGGAAGGACCAGCAGCAAACCUGGGGAGGGCCAAGCAGACAAAAGAACAGCGCAGGGUCCAGUAUCGUUCCUCCACGAAGAGGGGGAGCGACAUACCCCUAUGUUUUUCUAGUUGUUUUGCAGCUUUAUGUCUUUUGUUUGUCUUUAAUCCAUUUUGGAAUGAUUAUUGUGUGGUAUAAUCAUAUUUAAAUUUAAUUCUUCUGCAUGUGAAUAUCCAGUUUACCCAACACCACUUAUUGAAGACACUCUAUUUUCCCUAUUAUCUUUUCUCAGUGAGUUCCAUGGUAGAAAAUUAAUCAACCGUAUGUCUUUGUGUUAUGUUCUGGCUUGUAUUAUGUUUGAUUGCUUUUAUGGAAUUUUUUAAAGAUUUAUUUAUUAACUUGAGAGAGUUACACAGAGAGAGGAGAGGCAGAGAGAGAUGGUAUACUCCCAAAUGGCUGCAGAGGCCAGAGCUACGCCAAUCCGAAGCAGGAGCCAGGAGAUUCUUCCGGGUCUCCCACACGAGUGCAGGGGCCCAAGGACUUGGGCCAUCUUCUCCUGCUUUCCCAGGCCACAGCAGAGAUCUGGAUUUGAAGUGGAGCAUCCAGGUCUUGAACCGACUCCCCUAUGGGAUACUGGUGCUUCAGGCCAGGGCGUUAACCCUCUGUGCCACAGCGCUGGCCCCUCUUAUGGAAUUUGACAUCAGGAAAUUUGUGUAUGCAAAUUUCUUCUCAAAGGUCAUGUUUUUUGUUCUGUUAA